rnacentral:rRNA from 1 species
AGAGUUUGAUCAUGGCUCAGGAUGAACGCUGGCGGCGUGCUUAACACAUGCAAGUCGAACGGGAUCCUGCAAGCUUGCUUGCGGGUGAGAGUGGCGAACGGGUGAGUAAUGCGUGACCAACCUGCCCCAUGCUCCGGAAUAGCUCCUGGAAACGGGUGGUAAUGCCGGAUGCUCCCGCGCCCCGCAUGGGGUGUGGGGAAAGCUUUCGUGGCAUGGGAUGGGGUCGCGUCCUAUCAGCUUGUUGGCGGGGUGAGGGCCCACCAAGGCGUUGACGGGUAGCCGGCCUGAGAGGGCGACCGGCCACAUUGGGACUGAGAUACGGCCCAGACUCCUACGGGAGGCAGCAGUGGGGAAUAUUGCACAAUGGGCGCAAGCCUGAUGCAGCGACGCCGCGUGCGGGAUGGAGGCCUUCGGGUUGUAAACCGCUUUUGUUUGGGAGCAAGCCCUUCGGGGUGAGUGUACCUUUCGAAUAAGCACCGGCUAACUUCGUGCCAGCAGCCGCGGUAAUACGUAGGGUGCGAGCGUUAUCCGGAAUUAUUGGGCGUAAAGGGCUCGUAGGCGGUUCGUCGCGUCCGGUGUGAAAGUCCAUCGCUUAACGGUGGAUCCGCGUCGGGUACGGGCGGGCUGGAGUGCGGUAGGGGAGACUGGAAUUCCCGGUGUAACGGUGGAAUGUGUAGAUAUCGGGAAGAACACCAAUGGCGAAGGCAGGUCUCUGGGCCGUUACUGACGCUGAGGAGCGAAAGCGUGGGGAGCGAACAGGAUUAGAUACCCUGGUAGUCC